rnacentral:rRNA from 1 species
GACGAACGCUGGCGGCGUGCUUAACACAUGCAAGUCGAACGGAAAGGCCCUGCUUUUGUGGGGUGCUCGAGUGGCGAACGGGUGAGUAACACGUGAGUAACCUGCCCUUGACUUUGGGAUAACUUCAGGAAACUGGGGCUAAUACCGGAUAGGAGCUCCUGCUGCAUGGUGGGGGUUGGAAAGUUUCGGCGGUUGGGGAUGGACUCGCGGCUUAUCAGCUUGUUGGUGGGGUAGUGGCUUACCAAGGCUUUGACGGGUAGCCGGCCUGAGAGGGUGACCGGCCACAUUGGGACUGAGAUACGGCCCAGACUCCUACGGGAGGCAGCGGUGGGGAAUAUUGCACAAUGGGCGGAAGCCUGAUGCAGCAACGCCGCGUGCGGGAUGACGGCCUUCGGGUUGUAAACCGCUUUCGCCUGUGACGAAGCGUGAGUGACGGCAAUGGGUAAAGAAGCACCGGCUAACUACGUG